GAUGAACGCUGGUGGCGUGCCUAACACAUGCAAGUCGAGCGAUUCUCUUCGGAGAAGGGCGGCGGACGGGUGAGUAACGCGUGGGUAACCUGCCCUGUACACACGGAUAACAUACCGAAAGGUAUGCUAAUACGAGAUAACAUGCUUUUAUCGCAUGGUAGAAGUAUCAAAGCUUUUGCGGUACAGGAUGGACCCGCGCCUGAUUAGCUAGUUGGUGAGGUAACGGCAUACCAAGGCGACGAUCAGUAGCCGACCUGAGAGGGUGAUCGGCCACAUUGGAACUGAGACACAGUCCAAACUCCUACGGGAGGCAGCAGUGGGGAAUAUUGCACAAUGGGCGAAAGCCUGAUGCAGCAACGCCGCGUGAGCGAUGAAGGCCUUCGGGUAGUAAAGCUCUGUCCUCAAGGAAGAUAAUGACGGUACUUGAGGAGGAAGCCCCGGCUAACUACGUG
rnacentral:rRNA from 1 species